UGGGGAAUAUUGCACAAUGGGCGCAAGCCUGAUGCAGCGACGCCGCGUGGGGGAUGACGGCCUUCGGGUUGUAAACUCCUUUCGCUAGGGACGAAGCUUUUUGUGACGGUACCUAGAUAAGAAGCACCGGCUAACUACGUGCCAGCAGCCGCGGUAAUACGUAGGGUGCGAGCGUUGUUCGGAAUUACUGGGCGUAAAGGGCUCGUAGGUGGUUUGUCGCGUCGUCUGUGAAAUUCCGGGGCUUAACUCCGGGCGUGCAGGCGAUACGGGCAUAACUUGAGUACUGUAGGGGUAACUGGAAUUCCUGGUGUAGCGGUGAAAUGCGCAGAUAUCAGGAGGAACACCGAUGGCGAAGGCAGGUUACUGGGCAGUUACUGACGCUGAGGAGCGAAAGCAUGGGUAGCGAACAGG
rnacentral:rRNA from 1 species